GCAUUCAGUUGCCAUCGGGUAAUGCCGGGCACUCUGGAAGGACUGCCAUCGACAAGAUGAGGAAGUGGGGAUGACGUCAAGUCAUCAUGGCCCUUAUGUCCAGGGCGACACACGUGCUACAAUGGCCGGCACAACGGGAAGCGAGUUCGCGAGGACAAGCGGAUCCCUUAAAGACCGGUCGCAGUUCGGAUUGAAGUCUGCAACUCGACUUCAUGAAGCUGGAAUCGCUAGUAAUCGUGGAUCAGCCAAGCCGCGGUGAAUACGUUCCCGGGCCUU
rnacentral:rRNA from 1 species